rnacentral:rRNA from 1 species
GACGAACCGUGCGAACGUUAUUCGGAAUCACUGGGCUUAAAGGGUGCGUAGGCGGGCUCGCCAGUCAGGGGUGAAAUCCCACGGCCCAACCGUGGAAGUGCCUCUGAUACUGCGGGCCUCGAGGGGGAUAGGGGCGUGCGGAACUUCCGGUGGAGCGGUGAAAUGCGUAGAUAUCGGAAGGAACGCCGGUGGCGAAAGCGAUCCGCUGGACCUCUUCUGACGCUGAGGCGCGAAAGCCAGGGGAGCAAACGGG